GAGUUUGAUCGUGGCUCAGGAUGAACGCUAGCGGCAGGCUUAAUACAUGCAAGUCGAGGGGUAACAUGGGUAGCAAUACCUGAUGACGACCGGCAAACGGGUGCGGAACACGUACGCAACCUUCCCAUAACUGGUGAAUAGCCCUCCGAAAGGAGGAUUAAUACACCGUAACAUAAUGAGGUGGCAUCACUUUAUUAUUAUAGGCUUCGGCCGGUUUUGGAUGGGCGUGCGCCUGAUUAGGUAGUUGACGGGGUAACGGCCCACCAAGCCUGCGAUCAGUAACUGGUGUGAGAGCACGACCAGUCACACGGGCACUGAGACACGGGCCCGACUCCUACGGGAGGCAGCAGUAAGGAAUAUUGGUCAAUGGACGAAAGUCUGAACCAGCCAUGCCGCGUGAAGGAUUAAGGCCCUCUGGGUUGUAAACUUCUUUUAUAUGGGACGAAAAAAGGGUAUUCUUACUCACUUGACGGUACCAUAGGAAUAAGCACCGGCUAACUCCGUGCCAG
rnacentral:rRNA from 1 species